rnacentral:rRNA from 2 species
AGACCCGAAACCCGGUGAUCUAGCCAUGGGCAGGUUGAAGGUUGGGUAACACUAACUGGAGGACCGAACCGACUAAUGUUGAAAAAUUAGCGGAUGACCUGUGGCUGGGGGUGAAAGGCCAAUCAAACCGGGAGAUAGCUGGUUCUCCCCGAAAGCUAUUUAGGUAGCGCCUCGUGAAUUCAUCUCCGGGGGUAGAGCACUGUUUCGGCUAGGGGGCCAUCCCGGCUUACCAACCCGAUGCAAACUGCGAAUACCGGAGAAUGUUAUCACGGGAGACACACGGCGGGUGCUAACGUCCGUCGUGAAGAGGGAAACAACCCAGACCGCCAGCUAAGGUCCCAAAGUCAUAGUUAAGUGGGAAACGAUGUGGGAAGGCCCAGACAGCCAGGAUGUUGGCUUAGAAGCAGCCAUCAUUUAAAGAAAGCGUAAUAGCUCACUGGUCGAGUCGGCCUGCGCGGAAGAUGUAACGGGGCUAAACUAUGCACCGAAGCUGCGGCAGCGACACUAUGUGUUGUUGGGUAGGGGAGCGUUCUGUAAGCCUGUGAAGGUGUGUCGUGAGGCAUGCUGGAGGUAUCAGAAGUGCGAAUGCUGACAUAAGUAACGAUAAAGCGGGUGAAAAGCCCGCUCGCCGGAAGACCAAGGGUUCCUGUCCAACGUUAAUCGGGGCAGGGUGAGUCGACCCCUAAGGCGAGGCCGAAAGGCGUAGUCGAUGGGAAACGGGUUAAUAUUCCCGUACUUGGUGUUACUGCGAAGGGGGGACGGAGAAGGCUAUGUUGGCCGGGCGACGGUUGUCCCGGUUUAAGCGUGUAGGUGUGUGUUCCAGGUAAAUCCGGUU